GGGGACGACAGGUAUCGAUGGGAACAGCUCUUUGACAACCGCAAGCCGAGUUUGAACUAAACUCGUAAAAAAGGGUUCAAAAAACAAUUGUCACUGAAAAAGCAGACAGACUCCUAGGUACCUAUUUCGGUGCCGAGGAUGCUAACGCAGAUUACGCUUUCGCGUACGCUGCCUAAGCCGUUUUCGGAUUAAAAUGUUCGAGGUUUAACCGAAGGCGAGUACAAACUCGAAAUACGCUAUUCAAGGAGAAGCUAAGCCUUGGCUAGUUAGAUUAAGUUAGCAGCUCUAGAUGAAUUUUGUUUGUGAAUAAAUCUAGAGAAUAAAUUCACAAACUAAGCUUGUAGCGGUUAUCUGAAGAAUGUUUCCAGACGUGGGUCCAAUUCCCACCGUCUCCACAC
rnacentral:tmRNA from 1 species